UACGUAGGGGGCAAGCGUUGUCCGGAUUUAUUGGGCGUAAAGAGCGUGUAGGCGGUUAGGUAGGUCCGUUGUGAAAACUCGAGGCUCAACCUCGAGACGCCGAUGGAAACCAUCUGACUAGAGUCCGGAAGAGGAGAGUGGAAUUCCUGGUGUAGCGGUGAAAUGCGCAGAUAUCAGGAGGAACACCUGUGGCGAAAGCGGCUCACUGGACUGGUAUUGACGCUGAGGUGCGAAAGCGUGGGGAGCAAACAGG
rnacentral:rRNA from 1 species